rnacentral:rRNA from 1 species
CCUACGGGGCGCAGCAGUAGGGAAUUUUCGUCAAUGGGCGCAAGCCUGAACGAGCAAUGCCGCGUGAACGAGGAAGGUCUUCGGAUCGUAAAGUUCUGUUGAAGGGGAAAAAGAGCGGAGAGAGGAAAUGGUCUCCGAUUGAUAUUACCCUUCGAGGAAGUCACAGCUAACUACGUGCCAGCAGCCGCGGUAAUACGUAGGUGGCGAGCGUUAUCCGGAAUGAUUGGGCGUAAAGCGAGUGCAGGCGGUGGAAUAAGUCUGAUUGAGAA